CUUAGCGGCGGACGGGUGAGUAACGCGUAGAUAACCUGCCCCUUAGUUUGGGAUAACCUCGGGAAACUGGGACUAAUACCGGAUAUUAUCUUUGUACGGCAUCGUAUGGAGAUGAAAGAUCUUGAAUCGCUGAGGGAGGGGUCUGCGUACUAUUAGAUAGUUGGCGAGGUAACGGCUCACCAAGUCAUUGAUAGUUAGCUGGUCUGAGAGGAUGAUCAGCCACACUGGGACUGAGAUACGGCCCAGACUCC
rnacentral:rRNA from 1 species